rnacentral:rRNA from 1 species
AUGGUGUCGGGAUCAAGCUCGCAGGGGCGGCAUGGCAAGGAGACGACGGAGGAGCUGCUAGCCAGGUUGAAUUUGCAGGAGGAGGAAGAUGAUGAUUUCGUGUGGGAGGAGGAGUUGCCGGAUCUGGGGGCGCCGGCGAAGUGGCUAGCCAUAGCCAGGGUACACACUACAAGGACUUUCAGCCCUAAUGCUCUUUAUGGGGACAUGCGUGCAGCCUGGAAUCCAGCGAAAACGGUGGUCUGGAGGAAGGUGAAGGACAACUUGUGCACAACGCGGUUUGGUUGUCCAGGGGAUUGG